rnacentral:rRNA from 1 species
AGGAUAAACGCUGGCGGCGUGCAUGAGACAUGCAAGUCGAACGGACACUUGGGGCUUGCUCCAAGUGUUAGUGGCGGACGGCUGAGUAACGCGUAGGUGACCUGCCCCGAAGUGGGGAAUAACUGCCCGAAAGGGUGGCUAAUACCGCAUGUGGUGGUGUGUUCAUUCACACCAGUAAAGCCGCAAGGCGCUUCGGGAGGGGCCUGCGUCCGAUUAGCUCGUUGGUGGGGUAACGGCUCACCAAGGCGACGAUCGGUAGGUGGUCUGAGAGGACGAUCACCCAGACUGGGACUGAGACACGGCCCAGACUCCUACGGGAGGCAGCAGUCGGGAAUUUUGCGCAAUGGACGAAAGUCUGACGCAGCAACGCCGCGUGAGGGAUGACGGCCUUCGGGUUGUAAACCUCUUUUAUCUAGGGACGAUAAUGACGGUACCUGAUGAAUAAGUCACGGCUAACUACGUGCCAGCAGCCGC